GUGGGUAUAGCGCAGCUGGUUAGCGCGUCAGAUUGUGGCUCUGAAGGCCCAGGGUUCGAAUCCCUGUAUCCACC
rnacentral:tRNA from 1 species